UACGAAGGGGGCUAGCGUUGUUCGGAAUCACUGGGCGUAAAGAGCGUGUAGGCGGCCAUGUAGGUCCGGUGUGAAAACUCGAGGCUUAACCUCGAGAUGUCAUCGGAAACCAUUUGGCUAGAGUCCGGAAGAGGAGAGUGGAAUUCCUGGUGUAGCGGUGAAAUGCGCAGAUAUCAGGAGGAACACCAAUGGCGAAGGCAGCUCGCUGGGACGGUACUGACGCUGAGACGCGAAAGCGUGGGGAGCAAACAGG
rnacentral:rRNA from 1 species